AGACUCCCUAACUUUGUGCAGUUUGCAGUUGUGGCACUGACAUAUGGGCCAGACACAUUUGGCCCACAUGUUAGUGCCACAACUGCAAACUACAUAAAGUCAGGGGAUCU
rnacentral:pre_miRNA from 1 species